AGAGAGGAGGGUCGGAGAUGUAAAUAUGGGAGUCAUGAGUGUAUAGACAGCAUUCAAAGCUAUGGGACAGGAUAAGUUGAGCAGAGAAAUAGUGUAAAAUAGAGAAGACCCAGAGGCUUAACCUUUGGAAACUGGGACAGAAAGGAGACUGAAAGGGACAAGAGUGGUAGGCCAGGAGAGUUUGACGUUCUAGAAGCAGGUUCAGGAGAGUGGAGCAGAGAGAAAUUCAGCUGGAGUUUAAGGCUAUUUAGGAGAAAGGAAGUGGAGACAAUGAGUGUACACAUCUCUUUCAAUAAAUUUUACUGUGACUGGACUAGUGGAACGGAGCUAUAAAUCAUUUAAUCUCUUUUUUUCUCUCUCUACAAGUGAAUAUUUAAAGACGAUAUUUUCAUAACAUUUAGCUUUUGUUACAAAACAAACCACCCCAAGAGCUAGUGGCUUAAAAGAUAAUUUUAAAAAAGAUAAAUAUUUAUAAUUUCUUAUUAUUCGGCUGGCUGUUCUUCCGGUCGGGGUAAGCUUGGCGGAGAUUGGUUCAUCCCAGAGGGCCUCAUUCACACGUCUGGCUGUUGGCACUAUGUCAGGUGAGGCAGGGCAUAACUUGGCCAUGUGUCCCUCAUCAUCCAGCAAGCUAGCCUGGGCUCAUUCACAUGGUGUGAUUGCAGAGUUUCCAAGAAAAACACACCAAUACUUUUCAAGUCUCUGCUUAUAUCACAUUUGCUAUUGUCCCAUUAACCAAAGCAAGGCACAUGGUUAAGCCAAGAGUCAGUGUGGGAGGGAAAUGCUCAAGGACAUGGAGAGAGGGAGGAAAUUAUAACAGUCCUUUUUGCAAAUAAUCUCCCACAACUAUUAAUGUAUUUCUAAUUAUGUGAAUUCAUCUUCUGAGUUGCUCAUGUUAGAAACCUCAAAGUUAUUUUCUGCCUCUUUUUUCUCUCAUAGAGUAAAAUGGGAAAUUAUUUAAUUAGCUAAGUAAAAAUGUAUUUUGUGGAAAAUCAUUUCCUCUCAGUACUUUAAUAAUCUAAAUAUUAAUAUAAACUUUGAUCACAGACCCAGUACUGUUUUGAUUAAUUAUACUCAGAAACUGGAAAAGAAAGAACAUAAUUGGCAGACUAAAAUAUGAAAUUUAUUCAAAUCCCUUAUAACAAAACAUGGCUUAAUAUACCAGUAAUACGUUUCAUUUUAUUUGUUUUCUUACAAAUAUGCAAAGAGGUAAUCACCAAUAAGUGGUAGUAUUUAAACACUUGGAAAAAAUAUUAAGCAAUACUCUUGUUGUAGCUAAUUGUGCAUAUGCAUCUUAUCUGAAGUUGGCAGCAAGUGAAAUUAAAUGGUUUUCCAAAUGACUGCAUUGCCAAUCCACCUUCUUUCAGCUAAUUGACUGAUUUUGGUCAUUGCUGCCUCCCAAGGGGGUCACUUGCACUGACGUGGAGUAUUGACAAUCCCGUAUGGCACUAAAGCUUGCUACAACCAUCGGUUGGUGCAACCCCACAGGGGGCCUUUUAGAAAGCACUGAAUAGGGAUCCUUUCCUGUUGAGAGAGAUGUGGAAUGGGAUACAGGCACGGCAUUGCAGAGAGGAAUGCUGUUGGACCCCACUCAAACAGCCUCAUAACAAGUCUGGGCCUUGGUUUAUUCAUCUGGAAAACAGGAGAUCGCCUUGAAAGUCUUCUCGCAAUCUGUGGCUCUCUGAGUCCACGUGAGCUCUGCCGGCGUAAUAGAAUCAGCACACUGUUAACCACAGAAAUGGAGGAAGGAGCCCUGAACACCCCAAUUCUGGUUAAAACAGGAGGCAAGAGCAAUCACAACCAGUGUCUAGUAACAUGUUUACCAUUCUGCAGACACAAAUCCAAAGUUCAAGCGACACAAGCAUAACAGCAGGGUCGGAAUCCAAAACUUCGCAUACACCAAAAGGCUACAGUCAUCUGUGACUGGUGUUGGUUCCAGAAUUGAGCCUUGAUUGUUUUUCAAAUGUUGGAAAAUGUCUGUGCAGCAUCUUGUGGUUGAAAUGCCUGCUCACCUGCUUUCUGAGGUCUGUCAGGUUGACAAGCUCAGGAGGGAGUCUCCGCCACUUUUUGAGCCCCAGAUCUCUGAGAAUCUGUAACAGUCCCAGGUGCAGUCAGUUGUCCAUGCAACGUGCAUAUGCACCUCACAUAUGCAAACAAUUAAGAAGGCUUCCUGGGUCUCAGGCGCCAGGGGAAACCUGCUUGUCCGGCCAACCCCUCACUCUCCUUCCUGUUUCUGACCUGCGUCAUAACACCACUCGUCGUCUCAACCCUAGUUGGCACCCACGCCAGUCAAGCCACUCGACUUGAAAGUAAACUCCUCAUCUCCAGAGUUACAGUUGACAAAGUAAUCCUAAAUAUGACAUAUUGUGAUGUGGACUGACCAUGCCGGACUUGCGCACAGCUUGCACCACCUGUACUCACCAGUGUUGCUGUCUCUUUUGAUCCUGCAAGAUGUAUUACAUUUGGCAGAAGCCAUGGAAGAAAAAGUGUAUCAGGGAAGUGAGAACUGUUGUCAUCAACUAGCCUUCACAGUUGAUGUUUCUUCAAGAUUCAGCUGACCUUCGCUACCUUUUCAAGAGCAACUCACUUCUGUAAAAUUGUACACACAGUGCGAUGAAACUUUUGUUAAAAAAAUACAGCAUAGAUAGCUACAGAAAAAAAUGGUUGUUUUAGAGUGGUGGGAUUAUGGGUGAUUUCCACUUUUCUACAGUCGACCAUCCUGCUCUCUACUUGGCUGGAAAUCAAAGGCCCAUCCAGAUAAGAAUCUCCGCAAUGUGCAUUUUCAGAGCAAGUCAGAAGCUGCUUUGUUUUAACACUCAAAGAAAGCUUUUGUAUUUUCGAUUUCGAGUGCUCUGCAGUAAAAUCAACAGUCUAUAUAGAUUAUACAAAAGGGUCAUAUGUUGGUUUGAGCCAGUUUCUGGGGGAAAAAAAUCACCAUUGAGGAACAGCAAGUGUUUAAACAAUGAACUGACAGCUGCCGGUCCAUUAGAUCCUCCAUGGGUGCAAUUCCUGCUCUUUGCAAUUUCACUGUGGUCUGUAGAUACCACCCUUCGUGGCUGAGCUGGUGGUGAUGGGCUGUGUUCCAAUAGCACCUGCACUUAGCGGAGGGAUGUCUUUCAUCAGAGGCCUCUCGCAUAAAGUCCAUCAUAAGAAAGAGAAACCGUGCCAGCUCCGAAAGGGAGAAGAAGAAAAUAUACAGCUAUUUCAAAGUCCGUAUUGGCCAUUUAAGUACUUGUAGAGUUAGAACUAAAAACUUGAAGCUCUUGAUUUACACUAUAUUCUCUUGGCCAUUCUAAGGAGUAUCAGGAUUCAUCUUUAGCUGAAGUUUAAUCCAAAUAGUCAAACCUCAGAGUUUGCUAAAUUAAGUGCUUUUUUUUUUUUUUUUGAGGAAGAUUAGCCCUGAGCUAACAUCUGCUGCCAAUCCUCCUCUUUUUGCUGAGGAAGCCUGGCCCUGAGCUAACAUCCGUGCCCAUCUGCCUCUACUUUCUGUGUGGGACGCCUGCCACAGCAUGGCAUGCCAAGCAGUGCCAUGUCUGCACCCGGGAUCUGAACCCACGAAUCCCAGGCCACCGAAGUGGAACAUGCGAACGUAACUGCUGCGCCACUAGGUUGGCACCAUUAAGUGCUAAUUUAAUGAUGACGUCUGCCUUUAAAAAUAUCUUUCUGGUGAUAGGCUUAAAGAAGAGACAUGAAAGAAUAUUUUCUUUAACUUCUGCUUCAGCAAGCUACAAUCCUCUUAAUUUUCUCUUUACUGGAGUCAGAUGUUCAUAAUUAGCCCUAUUUGAACAGCCCAAGGGUUGGUCCAGGGUUUCACAGGAGAGUAAAAAGUCUUAGGUGAAGACAAGCCUUUGAUUCUCUUUAUCAAGGUCUUUCCUCACCUUUGAUUUGAUUCUCUGCUGAAUCGCUCCUUUCCUUCAGUCCCUUAGAAUGCCUUCCUUUGGGAUCUCUGGUUUAGAUUUUCAGUGGAUGUUUAUACCUGUGUCUGGGCCCACCGCUUGCCCUGACCGCAUCUCAGAUCUGCCACAUCUUGAUUGCUUACCCCAUUACCUUCUUUCCCCUUGGAUCCUUAAUAACGGCACCUCUGCUUUCCUAGACAUAGCUUUCACCUGCAGCUAUCCGUGCCCCAGCUGAACCGAACUAGGUUUUAGCUCCACCAGUUUGAGCCGAGCAGUCACUUC
ensembl:lncRNA